rnacentral:rRNA from 1 species
AACGAACGCUGGCGGCGUGCCUAAUACAUGCAAGUAGAACGCUGAAGAGAGGAGCUUGCUCUUCUUGGAUGAGUUGCGAACGGGUGAGUAACGCGUAGGUAACCUGCCUUGUAGCGGGGGAUAACUAUUGGAAACGAUAGCUAAUACCGCAUAACAAUGGAUGACUCAUGUCAUUUAUUUGAAAGGGGCAAAUGCUCCACUACAAGAUGGACCUGCGUUGUAUUAGCUAGUAGGUGAGGUAACGGCUCACCUAGGCGACGAUACAUAGCCGACCUGAGAGGGUGAUCGGCCAAACGGGGACUGAGACACGGCCCAGACUCCUACGGGAGGCAGCAGUAGGGAAUCUUCGGCAAUGGGGGCAACCCUGACCGAGCAACGCCGCGUGAGUGAAGAAGGUUUUCGGAUCGUAAAGCUCUGUUGUAAGUCAAGAACGAGUGUGAGAGUGGAAAGUUCACACUGUGACGGUAGCUUACCAGAAAGGGACGGCUAACUACGUGCCAGCAGCCGCAGUAA